rnacentral:lncRNA from 1 species
AGCAACCCGCUCGGGUCUCCUUUCACGUGGUGGAAGCUUUGUUCUUUCACGCUUUGGGUCUGCACUGCUUUUAUGAGCAGUAACACUCACCACGAAGGUCUGCAGCUUCACUCCUGAAGCCAGUGAGACUAUGAGCCCACUGGGAGAAACGAAUAACUCCUAGACUUGCUGCCUUAAGAGCUGUAACACUCAACGCGAAGGUCUGCAGUUUCACUCCUUAAGCCAGCAAGACCACAAACCCACCAGAAGGAAGAAACUCCAAACACAUCUGAACGUCAGAAAAAACAAACUUCAGACGCGCCACCUUAAGAGUUGUAACACUCACCUCACCGCGAGGGUCCGUGGCUUCAUUCUUGAAGUCAGUGAGACCAAGGACCUACCAAUUCCAGACACACCCUGGGCCCCCUUUUUUUCUUUCUCUACACUUUGUCUCUGUGUCUCUUUUCCAAGUCUCGUUCCACCUAAUGAGAAGUGCCCACAGGUGUGGAGGAGCAACCCAUCCCUUCAGGCAGGUGCCUGUAAUCCCAGCUACUCAGGAGGCUGACGCAGGAGAAUUGCCUAAACCCAGGAAGCGGAGGUUGCAGUGAGCUGAGAUGGUGCUAUUGCAUUCCAGCCUGGGCGACACAGCAAGACUCCUUCCCCAUAAAUAAAUACUCUCCAGCUAGAUUACCAGCUCCUGUUGUACCCACAGUAGGUACCUUCCAGA